AGAGGUUGAGCCUGGCUCACGAUGAACGCUGGCGGCGUGCCUAACACAUGUCAGUCGCACGGGAAACUGGUUUCUCAUCAGUGGACAUUGGCGCAGGGGUGAGUAACACGUAUCUUACCUGCCCCCAAGAUCGGGAUAACGCCCCGAAGGGGGUGCUAAUACCGGAUAAGCUCACGGGCAACAACAAACCGUGAGAAAAGGUUAAGGCGCUUGGGGAUGGGGCUGCAGCCCAUCACCUAAUUGGUAAGGUAAAAGCCUACCAGGGCAACUACGGGUAUGGGGCCUGAUAGGGUGACCCCCCCCACUGGGACUGAGACACGGCCCAGACUCCUACGGGAGGCAGCAGUGAGGAAUAUUGCUCACUGGGCUCAAGCCUGAAUCACCGACGCCGCGUGGCUGAUGAACGUUUUCUGAUCGGAUAGCCCUUUUCUUGGAGACGAUGCUGACGGUGACCAACGAAUAACUGUCGGCUAACUACGUGCCAGCAGCCGCGGUAGAACCUACGACGCACGCGUUAUCCGGAAUUACUGGGCGUAUCGCGCGCGCACGCGGGCUGUCAAGUCAUGCGUGAGAUCUCCCGGCUACACUGGGAUAGGUCGGAUGAUACUGGCGGUCUGGAGGCGAUCAUAGGAAUGUGUAAUUCCGCGUGUA
rnacentral:rRNA from 1 species